CGUAUACAUCUAAACCAAAGGAUUCCCGACCUCGUUUGAUCUCAGCAGCUAAGCAGUGUUGGGCCUGGUUAGUCGUGAGACGGGAGACCACAGAUAAUAACAAGUGUCGUAAUGG
rnacentral:rRNA from 1 species